rnacentral:rRNA from 1 species
AAUGAACGCUGGCGGCAUGCCUAACACAUGCAAGUCGAGCGAACCCUUGGGGUCUUGUUCCGCACGGGUAGGUGACGCGGGGUGACCUGCCCUUGGGUUCGCAAUAUCUACGCGUAAGAGGUCCUAAUACAGGCGAAUCUAUUCCGACCAAACAUUUAUCGCCUUUGGGUGGGCCCGCGAUGGAUUGCUUGGAUCGUAGGGUAAAAGCCUACCACGGGGACGAUCCAUAACUGGGUUGAGAGGCUGGUCAGCGACACUGGGGGUGGGAGACGGCCCGGACUCCUAGGGGAGGCAGCAAUGCGGAAUAUUGGACAAUGGGCGAAGGCAUGAUGCAGUAAUGCCGCGAAAGUGAUGAAGGUCGGAGGGUUGUAAAGCUCUUUAAUCCGGGAUUAUAUUGACGGUACCGGGAGAAUAAGCACCGGCUAACUCCGUG